UACAGAGGGUGCGAGCGUUGUCCGGAAUCACUGGGCGUAAAGGGCGCGUAGGCGGUCUCUUAAGCGUGUGGUGAAAGCCCGGGCUCAACUCCGGGUCGGCCGUGCGAACUGGGGGACUGGAGCUUGUCAGAGGCAGGCGGAAUUCCGGGUGUAGCGGUGGAAGUGCGUAGAGAUCCGGAAGAACACCGGUGGCGAAGGCGGCCUGCUGGGACAGUGCUGACGCUGAGGCGCGACAGCGUGGGGAGCAAACAGG
rnacentral:rRNA from 1 species